AUUAAAUUUUUAUGAUAAGUAAAUAUUUAAAUUAAAAUAAUUUUAAAAUUAAUAUUUUUAGUAUUAUAAAAGAAUAAAUUAUGAUAAUUAUAUAAAAAUUGUAUUGUAUAAGAUUAUUGAAAUAUAAUUAAAUAAUUAAUUUUUUAAAAGUAGAUUUUAUAAAUUGUACCUUUUGUAUCAGGGUUUAUUUAAUUAAUUAUAUUAAAAUUAAUAUUUUUCUCGAAUUUAAAAGAGUUAAAUUAUUAUGUUAGUUACUGUUUUAUAAGUAUUAAUAAUAGUAUUUUAGAGGUGAAAUGCUAAUCGAUUUUAAAUUUAUCUAGUUUUUUUAGAAAUGAAUUUAAUUCAUAAAUUAAAUUAUAUUUAAUUUAAAGUAUAAAUUUUAAAUAGAUUUAAUUUUAAUAAUUUAAGGGGUUAUCUUUAAAUUAAUGAUUAUAAUUUUUUAUUAUUUAGUAAAAACUUAUAAAUUUAGUAAUGUUUAUUGAUUAAAAAUUUUAAUAAUGUAUUUUGUAUUUAGUAAAUUAGAAUUUAAUUAUUUUAUUUAAAAUAUUAUUUUUAAUUAUAAAAAUUUAGAAUUAAUGAUAUAAUUAGUAUAAUAAUUAUUAUUUAUUGUAUAAUUAAAUUUGUGCUUAAGAUUAAAAUAAGGAAUUCGGCAAAAUUUUAUACUCGCCUGUUUAUCAAAAACUUGUCUUUUUGUAUAUAAUAUAAAGUCUAAUCUGCCCACUGAUUUAAAUAUUUAAGGGCCGCAGUAUUUUGACUGUGCAAAGGUAGCAUAAUCAUUAGUCUUUUAAUUAAAGUCUUGAAUGAAGGAUUGAACGAAGUAUAAUCUGUCUCAUUUUAAAUAAUAUUAGAAAUUAAUUUUUAAGUUAAAAAGCUUAAAUUUAUUUAAUAGACGAGAAGACCCUAUAGAACUUUAUAAUAAAAUUUUAAUUUAGUUAAAUAUAUUUAUUUAGAUUAAUUAAUUUAUAUUAUUUUGUUGGGGUGACAGGAAAAUUUAAAAAACUUUUUUAUUUAAAAUUCAUAAAUUAAUGAUUUUAUUUAUGAUCUUAUAUUAUAAAUUAUUAAAAUAAGUUACCUUAGGGAUAACAGCGUAAUUAUUUUUUAGAGUUCAUAUUAACAAAAUAGAUUACGACCUCGAUGUUGGAUUAAAAUAAAUAAUUAGGUGUAGGAGCUUAAGUUAUUUGGUCUGUUCGACCAUUUUAUUUUUACAUGAUCUGAGUUAAAAUCGGUGUAAGCCAGAUUGGUUUCUAUCUUUAAUAAAUUAUUUAUAUUUUAGUACGAAAGGAAUAAAUAUAAGAAAUAAAUUUUUUAAACAUAUAUGAUUAUUAUUAAUUAUUU
rnacentral:rRNA from 1 species